rnacentral:rRNA from 1 species
AUGGGGCCCCUCCGAGGCGCAUUGGCGCCAAACGCCGACGAAAAUUUUCGGUUUUCCCUCCCUCUCGUUUUCUCCGCUCGUACAAAUGCUUUUUCCCCUUUCCUUUCUCUCUCCUCUCCUCUCGCCCAUCCAUUCCACACAUCCAUCCACCAGAUUCAGGAGAGAGAGAGAGGGAGAGAGAUUGCGGAGACGGGAGAGAGAGAGAGGGAGAGAGAUUGCGGAGAGGAGAGAGAGAUUGUGCCGGUUCUCGGUGCCCGGCGGUUCGGCGGUUGGGAUUGGGUUGCUUGCGUCUAUUGCAGAAAGAGAGUUGAAUCCAUCCAGCAAACCUAUGGGAGCUGGCUCCUGAGCCGCGGCGGCGGGCGGGCGUAUCUGCUGGGAGAUGAAACUGGAAGAUAA